rnacentral:lncRNA from 1 species
AUGUCUGCGGAGCUCUCUCAUUUCGCUCCACACGGACUCAGAGCGGAAGUCGCUCCUAGUCCGCGCCUUUGCUUUUCUCCACGCGGCAGGGGUCUGCACCGGGUGCCCCCCUUCCGGCCACGCGAGCCUCCUCGCCGCAGUGUCGUCCUCCAGAAGGGUGUUGACAGGGUCCCGGACUUCAACCUGUACCCGCCCCCUUCCCGCCCAGCUCUUCGGAGAUGCGCGGCUCGCGAGGGGCUGCCAGCUGUUUUGUUCAUGACUGCUCAUAGGAGGCCCUUGACAAAGGUAAGUUGCCUGAAUGAACGACUACUGUGUACAGGUGAGUACAGGUAUUAACUUUCUAUUCCUGACGGCAUUUUACAGAGGAGGGGCUGGAAGUAUCCUAAGUGUCAGAGCUGGGAUUUGAACCCAGGGUGGACGUCUUCUACUGGCAAGUGUUUCUCUGAUUUCCCUCUUCGCCUGGAGUAUGCACGUCUAGAAUGGCCCGGAAGUGAGUUCAUCCAUCCUGCACCCCUGGUCAGGUGCUUCCCACCUCCCUGGCCCAGGGCCUCAAGGUCCCCGUGUUCGCGUCUCAGGUGUGCCAGCUCUGCCGCGGUCCCAGGCCCUGGGAACGGGUUGGCUUGCGG